rnacentral:rRNA from 1 species
AGUGAACGCUGGCGGCAGGCCUAACACAUGCAAGUCGAACGGCAGCACAGCAGUAGCAAUACUGUGGGUGGCGAGUGGCGGACGGGUGAGGAAUACAUGGGAAUCUACCCUGUCGUGGGGGAUACGUAGGGAACUUACGCUAAUACCGCAUACGACCGAGAGGUGGAAGCGGCGGACCGCAAGGCGUCGCGCGACUGGAUGAGCCCAUGUCGGAUUAGCAGUUGGCGGGUAAAGGCCCACCAAGGCGACGAUCCGUAGCUGGUCUGAGAGGAUGAUCAGCCACACUGGAACUGAGACACGGUCCAGACUCC